rnacentral:rRNA from 1 species
AUUGAACGCUGGCGGCAGGCCUAACACAUGCAAGUCGAACGGUAACAGGAAGCAGCUUGCUGCUUCGCUGACGAGUGGCGGACGGGUGAGUAAUGUCUGGGAAGCUGCCUGAUGGAGGGGGAUAACUACUGGAAACGGUAGCUAAUACCGCAUAAUGUCGCAAGACCAAAGAGGGGGACCUUCGGGCCUCUUGCCAUCGGAUGUGCCCAGAUGGGAUUAGCUUGUUGGUGGGGUAACGGCUCACCAAGGCGACGAUCCCUAGCUGGUCUGAGAGGAUGACCAGCCACACUGGGACUGAGACACGGUCCAGACUCCUACGGGAGGCAGCAGUGGGGAAUAUUGCACAAUGGGCGCAAGCCUGAUGCAGCCAUGCCGCGUGUAUGAAGAAGGCCUUCGGGUUGUAAAGUACUUUCAGCGGGAAGGAAGGGAGUAAAGUUAAUACCUUUGCUCAUUGACGUUACCCGCAGAAGAAGCACCGGCUAACUCCGUG